UGCUGCACUAAAAGCAGCUUGAUGUUGAGGAGAAGGUCUGUGCACCAGAGAAGCUUCUUAGUCUUUAUUCUGCUGCAGUGGAACAACUUUGUUCCUCUGCUGUCUGACUCUACCUGAAAACAUGUUUCUUUACUUCUUGCUGCUUUUCUCUCUCUGCAUAGCCAUGGGCUCCAUGAACACCAUCAAACAGGAACAGAGGGAACAAGCUGUUUCAGAGGGAAGAAGCACCAGUUUGAGCUGUGAAUAUACUGGUUCUAUCAACAAUAUCCAGUGGUACCGACAGCAGGAGAGAUCCAGACCAGAGUUCCUGCUCUACAUCACAGAAGGAGGACUGAUUCAUCCAAGUGGUUCAGAGUUUUCUGUUCACAUCAACAAAACGGUGAAACAAUCAAAGCUGCUGAUCUCCUCUGCUGCACUGUCAGACUCUGCUGUGUACUACUGUGCCCUGGAGCCCACAGUGACAGGAAACACCAGAACUCUGUACAAAAACCUUCAAUACAUCCACCAGAGGGCCUCACACACUGUUAAACUGCUGAUUGACUGCUGGGACAAAGAAAACAGAGGAGUGAAGCAGUGAGGAUUAGAGACAGAUCUGCUGUGAAAGCUACAAGCAUGGUGGUGGUAUCAUCAGCUGCACAUUGCUGUUGUAGACAAGGGGAAAGAAAAGUACUAUAGAUUUGUUUUUUGCCAAAAAAUAGUGGCUUUCACAUUUCAUUUGCCC